GAAUGGUGUAGCAGCUUGCUGCCGAUGGUUUCAGCUCUGCUGGAUGCUCUUCCUUUGUGCCUAUAUUCAGCGCUUGUUGAGGAAGGAGCUUUCGUAAUAGAAGUCACCAAGCAGCAGGUCCAUUUCCACUGUUGAAGGCAGCUGGAAACUCAUCCCUGCUGAUGAUAGGAUGACCACUGCUGCAUAGAGAAACCUGUUCAGAACCCUCCGGACACAGGAACCAAGGAGCUGCCUGGGCCAGGAGCCUUCCAAUUUCCAUCCGUGUCCAGAGCUGAUCCUGGGUCACAGAGCUACAUACACAAAUUCUUCCAGUAGAGAGCUGGUCACCCAGGAGUGCCUACACACCUGCAAGCACAAGUAAGACUUCCAUUUUUCUUCAAAUUCCUGGCCCAAGAGGGAUGCACCCAUAACCAUCAGGACAGAGGAACCCAAGAUCAGCUAGGGACAAGAUCCUUCUGGUUUCUGUCUGCACCCCAGAGCAGACCCUGUACCACAGCUUUCCAUACCUAAAUUCCUCCCAGAGAGGAAUAGUCUCCCAGGAGUACUGAUACACAGGCUUGGAGGACAGACAAGACACAGUCAGAAACAGCAAGUUCAGCUAACACCAGAGAUAACCAGAUGGCAAAAGGCAAGUGCAAGAACAUAAGCAACAGAAACCAAGGCUACUUGGCAUCAUCAGAAUCUCCCACCACAGUGAGCUCUGGUUACCCCAACACACCACAAAUGCAAGGCUCUGAUUUAAAAUCACAUCUCAUGAUGCUGAGAAAAGACUUUAAGAAGGAAAUAAAUAACUCUCUUAAAUAAAUACAGGAGAACACAGGUAAGCAGGUAGAAGAUCUUAAUGAGGAAACACAAAAAUUUCUAAAAGAAUUACAGGAAAAAACAACCAAACAGGCGAAGGAACUGAACAAAGCCAUCCAGGAUCUAAAAAUGGAAAUAGAAACAACAAAGAAAUCACAAAGGGAAACAACACUGGAAAUAGAAAACAUAGGAAAGAGAUCAAGAGUCAUAGAUGCAAGCAUAACCAACAGAAUACAAGAGAUAGAAGAAAGAAUCUCAGGUGGAGACGAUACCAUAGAAAACAUUGACACAACAGUCAAAGAAAAUUCAAAAUGCAUAAAACUUCUAACCCUGAACAUUCAGGAAAUCCAGGAAACAAAGAGAAGACCAAAGCUAAGGAAUAUAGAUACAGAAGAGAGUGAAGAUUCCCAACUUAAAGGGCCAGUAAAUAUAUUCAACAAAAUUAUAGAAGAAAACUUCCCCAAUCUGAAGAAAGAGAUGCUCAUGAACAUACAAGAAGCCUAUAGAACUAUAGAUUGGACCAGAAAAGAAAUUUUUUUCUGUCACAAAAUAAUGAAAUCACCAAAUGUACUAAACAAAGAAAGAAUAUUAAAAGCAGUAAAGGAAAAGUGUUUGUAGUUGGAUUGGUGUUUGCCUUUCUCUGAAUAGCUUUCAGUGCCAUGAAUACUAGUUAGUAGGGGUGAAGGCACCAGCUUGACUUCUCUGUGUUCAGUGAAUUAUACAGGUGUUAUUUUCAGUAAUAGUGGCUUAUCAUAAUUGAUGGAGUGCAACCAAUCGUCUUGACAACAGCAUGAGUUGUUUGGGGGUCUCCAUGGGGCCCUUUGGCCAACAGCUUGAUCAGAUGCAAUCCAUUCCUGGCACUGAAUCUUUCAUUCAGAUUGAGAGAUGUCUUGUUGGGAUUAUGUCUCCCUUGUUAUUUGGUGAUUCCAUUUAUACUUCCUUCACAUUUAUAUUCAAGAAGCUUCUACUAUAGCAGGCUCCAUAUGACACCACAAGAGUCCUUAGUUUUAGUUCUUCUCUGCAUUCCUUCUCUUUCUCUCCUUUCCCUUCCCCUCUCUAUGUAAUAUUCCUGUUCCAGUCUCCUUCCUCCCAUCUACUCGUUAUAUAUAUUCUAUUUCCCCUUCCUGGGAAGGUCUGUCCCUUCCCCCUAGUCCCUUAUGCUAUAACUAGCAUCUGUGA